rnacentral:lncRNA from 1 species
ACAUCGUAUGAUCACAAGAACUUCAGCUCGAAUCUAUUUUCAUCGUCAUGGUUACAGGUUCAUACAUCUGAAUCAACUACUCUCCUUUUCGGGAUUGUAGUUAUUUGGCUUUAAAGCUUCAUUCAUCCGUUUGAGGAUCAACAAUCUCUCGAAUCUCCUUUGCCAGCCGAUCAUAAGGUUUAAAAUUCGUGAGUUUAUUGUUGCUGUGUAAAGUGAGCGGAUCGUGAACGGAAUCGUCUCUGGCGACUGACGCCAUCAUCGGCUUUAAUCUUCCGUGUGUAUACUCGAUACUUUAUUGCACAAUCAAAUGCGAUCUGAACUGAAUCUAGCACAAUCUUUGUGGCCAGGCUAAGAAACUUGGGCGUGAAUUGUCGGCUCUUGAAGCGUGGAAGCAAUCACACUGCAGGAAAGGAAGUCGACCAUUGGAUAAAAAUCUAAGUUGUAGCAGUUCACUACUUUUGGAUGUUGAUUUGGAAGGGGACGCUCAAGAAGAAAAUCUAAGUUGGGCUCGUUAAGGAAAAAGAUGAAGAAAAAGAAGGGUUCAAUGGAAUUAUUGCGGGGUUGUUAGCUAAAAAGGAAAAAAAUAAGAUGAAUAAAGAUGUUAUGCUUGAUAGGAUGUCACAAAUUGAAGCUAUGUUAACAGCUAUAGUUCGAAGAUAGGUUAUAAACACUUGGUUUUGAAUGUUUAGAUGUUUAUCUUAUUAGGAUAAUUUUAGUUAUUUAUGUUUUAGUUGGUAUUUUUAUAUGCUUUUGAAAACGAGAUGUUUUAUAUAAUUUUGGGAUUUUAUUAGAUUUUUUUAUAUUGUUUGUAGUU